UGGGGAAUAUUGCACAAUGGGCGCAAGCCUGAUGCAGCCAUGCCGCGUGUAUGAAGAAGGCCUUCGGGUUGUAAAGCACUUUCAGCGGGGAGGAAGGCGAUAAGGUUAAUACCUUUGCUCAUUGACGUUACCCGCAGAAGAAGCACCGGCUAACUCCGUGCCAGCAGCCGCGGUAAUACGGAGGGUGCAAGCGUUAAUCGGAAUUACUGGGCGUAAAGCGCACGCAGGCGGUUGAUUGAGUCAGAUGUGAAAUCCCCGGGCUUAACCCGGGAAUUGCAUCUGAUACUGGUCAGCUAGAGUCUUGUAGAGGGGGGUAGAAUUCCAUGUGUAGCGGUGAAAUGCGUAGAGAUGUGGAGGAAUACCGGUGGCGAAGGCGGCCCCCUGGACAAAGACUGACGCUCAGGUGCGAAAGCGUGGGGAGCAAACAGG
rnacentral:rRNA from 1 species